UACGAAUGGGAGUAUCGUUGUUAGGAAUUACUGGGCGUAAAGCGCACGCAGGCGGAUUGAUCAGUCAGGGGUGAAAUCCCGGGGCUUAACCUCGGAAUUGCCUUUGAUACUGUCUGUCUUGAGUCCGGGAGAGGUGAGUGGAAUUCCUAGUGUAGAGGUGAAAUUCGUAGAUAUUAGGAAGAACACCAGUGGCGAAGGCGGCUCACUGGCCCGGAACUGACGCUCAUGUGCGAAAGCGUGGGGAGCAAACAGG
rnacentral:rRNA from 1 species